GACGAACGCUGGCGGCGUGCUUAACACAUGCAAGUCGAACGGAAAGGCCCUGCAUUUGUGGGGUGCUCGAGUGGCGAACGGGUGAGUAACACGUGAGUAACCUGCCCUUGACUUUGGGAUAACUUCGGGAAACUGGGGCUAAUACCGGAUAGGAGCUCCUGCUGCAUGGUGGGGGUUGGAAAGUUUCGGCGGUUGGGGAUGGACUCGCGGCUUAUCAGCUUGUUGGUGGGGUAGUGGCUUACCAAGGCUUUGACGGGUAGCCGGCCUGAGAGGGUGACCGGCCACAUUGGGACUGAGAUACGGCCCAGACUCCUACGGGAGGCAGCAGUGGGGAAUAUUGCACAAUGGGCGGAAGCCUGAUGCAGCAACGCCGCGUGCGGGAUGACGGCCUUCGGGUUGUAAACCGCUUUCGCCUGUGACGAAGCGUGAGUGACGGUAAUGGGUAAAGAAGCACCGGCUAACUACGUG
rnacentral:rRNA from 1 species